rnacentral:lncRNA from 1 species
AUUCAAAAUAACAAAACAGCUGCAUGAUUGGCCUUUAUACAGCCCAAUGGCUUAGGCCUAGCGUGAGCUGAAGGUGGCUCAGGUAGUUGUGCCCCCAUCCCCGGAUCGAAUCUAGCAGGAACAUUUACCGUCCAAACAGAUAUGAGGUCGGAGUCGAGCCGCACAACAGCAAUGAUGAAAGCAACGACGAAAUUCCCCUCGUUGUAUUUAAUAAAUGUGAUCUCUGAAAUUUCUAAAUCAAGAUGAGCCACAUAUGCAUUGAAUUUAUUCAAAUUAUAUUACGUGUGUUAACUAGUUGGUAACAAGGAAAAAUUGAUGCACAUUUGUUCAAUUGGAGGUGUUAGUCAAAUUAUAAUACUAAGUAACUAAAAAUGAACUUCCAAACUCACUGUGACUUGUACCUAAAAAGGAUGCUAAUUUGUCAACAAUUCAAACGCCUUACACCACUCAGAUCUAGAACUCUAUUUGAAUGCAGACAACGAAUCACUUCAGCAUAGACAAUGAUAAACGACUACUAGCUAAUGUGAACACUACGAAACCAAAUAAAACAUAGAUGAAUCGAUUUUAUCUACUGGCAAUUCAACUGAAUCAUACUAAAACUACCAUAAUAACAUUUACGUGUUCAUUCCCAUAAUACAGUUUAUACAGUUCAAUCAACCAAAUAAUCUUAUCAUAAUUCGAUCAGAAUUCAUCUAAAACAUAGUAUAGACUAACAGGGGAAACAAAGUUGCAACCAUCAUAUAUAUCCCAUUCAUUUCAUGCUUCCACUUCAAAAUUACAUCAACUUGGAGAUCAGAAAUUUACGUGGCUUUUAGGAAUUAAGAAGAAGCAAAAAUAGUUAGCAGCAGUUCAUACAAGCAGCAAUCGUCAGGCUAGAACCCAGCUUAACCGCGAGUGAAAUUUUGAAAACCAAUCAAUCCAAGCAAACACCCCACAAGAUUGAACAAACAGGGAACCCAUGAAAUGCAAAACACCCCAAAAGUUGAAAUAGACCCUCAACAGUUCAAAUAUCACGACCAGAACCCCAUUGAAGCUAAUGAUACUCAACUUUGAAACAGAGGUGAAGUGAACUACAGCAAAAUCUGGAAUUCCAUUGAUUUACUCUAAUGGAACAAUGAAAUUUUGUUGUUUUUUCAGAUUUUCUUGUAUGUAUUUUUUUGUUUUUUUGUGUAUCUAAUUGCUGAACCAAAUCUGAAGCUAGAAUGAAUGAAGAGAUAAAAUUUCUUAUGAAUUUUGUAGGCUGAAAAAUUGAAGACCUCUACUUCAAGGCAUUUGAUGCCUUUAUAUAGGCAAAGAAGAAA